rnacentral:lncRNA from 1 species
GAGGACACUGGCUAAGACAGGUUUCAUACCAUAACUUGCCCCUAUUACCAAACCUCUCCUGCAGCUGGGCAGGGAAAAGAGUUACCAUCUGACCCAGCAAUGGCACUCUUGGGUGUCCGCCCAAGGGAAAUGAAAGCAAUCCAUGCAAACACCUGGACACGAGCACUCAUCACAGAACUGCACUGACAGCAGACCCUGGGAGGACUGACGCCAGGUGUGCACCACUGACGCGUGGACAGACAAGUCAUGAUAUUGCCACACCCUGGAAAGACUGGGUCACACAAGGCAGGGAAAUACUGACCAGAGCUAUGGCACUGAUGAACCCUGAGACCACCACACCACAUGGAAGGAGCCUCCAUGAAGCCCACUUACAGAAACGUAGAGCACAGCCACAGAAACAGGCAGUCACGACUUCCAGGGUGCAGGAAGGAAUGGUGGAUGAAGGCUAGCAAACCUGGGCUUCCUAUAAGAAGUGAUGAAACUGUUCUAAGCUCAGAUGAAGACAUAGGUUGCAUGACCCUGUGCGUACAUAACAGGCCAAGGAACUGAAGACUUUAAAAAUAUCAAUGUUACAGUUCGUGAAUUACGUUCAAGAAAACAUCUGUCAUAACAUAAUCUAAUACCCAUGAGAACAAUAAUGUGGCAUCUACAGUAAACUUUUUAAAUAAAAGAACACACAUGGGAAAGUUUAGAUGGACUGCUCUGGGGAAGGAGGAGGACAGAGGGAGACUGUGCCGUACCAUAGGCACCUCUGAGUCAGAACUCUGCACCCGUGUUUAGGAGAUGUGAAGCAAGAAGCACUGACUCAGGUGCCUCCCUGAAGCCCACUGCCCUCUCUCUACUCUUCCUCAGGGGCAUGCUGAGGAUGGAAGCCCUGCUCUGUAUCAUGUUCCAGGCCCCAAACAACACAGCACUGGGCACUGAGCCACCGUGCAGGUUAAUGGGGCUCUGAGAAAAAGACAGGGGCACAGUCAGGCAAGUUCCAGCUGCAGGUGUCUAUUAAGAACCUGGGGACUGUCUGUAAACCCAGGCACAUAGACAGAUACCCCUCUUCAC